GGCUGCGUAGCUCAGUUGGUUAGAGCGCAUCACUCAUAAUGAUGGGGUCACGGGUUUCGAAUCCCGUCGUAGCCACCA
rnacentral:tRNA from 1 species